rnacentral:lncRNA from 1 species
GUGGUGACUACUGCUGCACCAGAAGUCUCCUCAGAAGGCAGUGCUCAAUCCCUGAGCUCUCAGGACGGAAGGCACCUAUCAAGUUUAACAGCUUGAGGGCCACUCUGUUCUCAGAACUGGAUAAAACAAACUUUUCUCACACAGAGAGGAUUGUAGUACCGAGAAUUCUCUUGAUUUUUGUGCAAGUCAAACAUAAACAGCUUUCUGUCCUCUGGUGAGGUUCAGAACAAGAAAGGUAAUGUUGAGAUUAGGUCAAGAUUCCCUUGACUGUCUAUCCUAGGCUUUGCCAGGAGAACCUAUGACAUUAACCUAGUAACUCUUUCCUAUGCACAUGGCAAUCCUUGUUUCUGUCAUUCCCUCUGGAACCCAGUAUUAGGAAUACACAAGGAGUUCUUGAGGGCUGGCUGAGGAAACCAUUGAAGAAAGCAUGUCUUUGUAUAUACUCUGUAGCUGUGGUUACACUCCCUUGCUGCCCCUCCUCGACUUCAGUACUGAUGCGGCCGUCAUCAUAAAUGGAACCGCUGCUUUAUUACUUCUAUGUGCUGCUCACUUUGGCAUAUUUAGCCAUGUGGUAUGGUCAUUGCUUAGUGGUUUGAGAUGACUAAGUUUUUUUUUUCAAUGAAAUGAGUGUUUCAUACUGUAUUUCUCAUAGCAUUAGAAAAUUGUGAAGACCAUUUAGAUAGUCACUGUGUCUUCCCACUUGACCUGAUUUUCUUCAAAAUCGUUAAGAUUCCUAAGCAUUUCUCUUUUGUUUUAUUUUUCAUUUGGUUGGUUGGUUUUGUCUUUAUAUAAUAGAAAUUGGGCUUCUAUUAAAUUGUGAGACUGG